ACGCCGGCGGCGUGCCUAACACAUGCAAGUCGAGCGGGGACAUGCGACGGAUAGGAAGAUUCGGUUGGACUUGAAGAUGCAUUGUUCUAGCGGCGGACGGGUGAGUAACGCGUGAGCAACCUGUCCCUUACAGGGGGAUAACACAGCGAAAGUUGUACUAAUACCGCAUAAGACCACGGGAGGACAUCCUUCAGGGGUCAAAGGAGGAAUCCGGUAAGGGGUGGGCUCGCGUCCGAUUAGAUAGUUGGUGAGGUAACGGCCCACCAAGUCGACGAUCGGUAGCCGACCUGAGAGGGUGAUCGGCCACAUUGGGACUGAGACACGGCCCAAACUCCUACGGGAGGCAGCAGUGGGGAAUAUUGGGCAAUGGGGGAAACCCUGACCCAGCAACGCCGCGUGAGGGAAGAAGGUUUUCGGAUCGUAAACCUCUGUCCUUGGUGAAGAGGAAGAGACGGUAGCCAAGGAGGAAGCCCCGGCUAACUACGUGCCAGCCGCAGC
rnacentral:rRNA from 1 species